CUGUCGGCGAGUGGCGAACGGGUGAGUAUAGCAUCGAACGUGCCAAGUAGUGGGGGAUAACCAAACGAAAGUUUGGCUAAUACCGCGUAAGCUCCAAGGAGGAAAGUAGGGGACCUAAUAAGGCCUUACGCUAUUUGAUCGGCCGAUGUCGGAUUAGCUAGUUGGUGGGGUAAUGGCUCACCAAGGCAAUGAUCCGUAGCGGGUCUGAGAGGACGAUCCGCCACACUGGGACUGAGACACGGCCCAG
rnacentral:rRNA from 1 species